AUACCUAGCAAACCUGUCAAGAGAAAUUUCAAGGUUGGUACUUGUACAUGUAGCAAUAAAAAUAUCUGUAUAAAUUCAACAAUAUUGCAAAAUAUUCACUUCUGCAGAAUAAUUAAUAGCAUAAGUAGCCUUUGUGGGGUGAUGAAGAGGGAAUGAAAAGUUGAAUAGGUCCAGGGUUUUCAAAGACUGUUUACUAUUACUAAUAGGGUACAUUAAGAAUUGGAUAGGUGGGUCUUCCCUGUCAAUUAAAUUACCAUUAUUGCCUCAUAUGUGGGCUGCAUGAUUAUAAAGAAUCUCAUUAAACAAAAUAUUUUUUUUUUUAGAUAUUUAUGAAAUGUUAUGAAGAUGGCUACAGUUAUGAUUUUAGGCUUUGGCUGCUUUUCAUGUAUGAAUAAAGGAAAAAGAGUUGUCAAAUACUUGUGCAGACUUUUCAAAUUAAAGGUCACUGGGAUCAUGUGUUCCUUGACAGAUUAUUCAAAUUCAUUUCCCUGGUUAGGGCUGGGCUUUACAAUGGGAUUUUCAGCUGUGGAGCUAUAAAGAAUUACUACAUAAGGUUUCCAAUGUAGUUUUGCGAACAGAAUCCAGAAAUAAGAAGAGGAGAGACAAUGCAGAUGCAGCAUUAGCAUUACCAAUUACUUACCACUGCUGAGAAAAUGGUACAUGCUUUGAGUACUACUUUUGUGUAUUUGGAGGGAGUCCAGUUGUUCUUUAAACCAGAAGUGGAAAUUUUAGUGCUU